CUCUCGUUAAAUAUGCUUAAAUCAUACCUUAAAUUACUAGUAAAUUUUGUUCAAUUUGUUAUGUCCAUGGCUGCCCUAGCCGAUUAUUAUCCAAAUUGCACAUAUAGUCCGAGUUUUGUCCCAAAUAGUUCUUACCAAACUAAUCUAAACGACCUAUUAACCAACUUGAUUUCCCAUUCUUCGGCAAAUGGAUACUAUAACUCUUCCGUUGGCCAAGGGGACGAUCAAGUCUACGGCGCUUACCUAUGUCGUGGUGACGCUUCGACUACUGAAUGUAGGGAUUGUGUAGAAGAAGCACAUAACUACAUUCUCUUAAAUUGUUCCUCUAAAUAUCGGGCUGUUAUAUGGUUCGAGUAUUGUAUGCUCCUUUAUUCAAACGUGUUGUUUUUUCAAAAGUUGGAAUACGAUCCUAGGUGGAUUAUAGGGAACCCUCGAAGCAUAAGUCCUAAUGAGACUCAGAGAUUUUGUCGAGGUACUGACUACUACUGCCGAGAAAUUAGUACCGAAAGUUGCAAAUAGUACUGCAAAGUUUGGGACUAAUGUAGGCAGCAGUACAGGCACCUUGCCGCGGUUGUAUAUACUGGGGCAGUGCACACCCGACUUGAACGAUGUCGAUUGUGCAACGUGCUUGAGGAUGGCUAAUCGCCAGUUUCUACACCAGUACGGUGGAAGAGUUAUGCUGCCUAGUUGUAUUGUUAGGUUUGAGUUCAACCAGUACGACCAACCCUUUUACAAGAGUGACACCGCUGUAAUGUCAUUCAUACCGGCUUAUAUUGUUCCCAAUACCAACUCAAAGGAUAAAUCAUCGGAAAUUCGUGUAGUUGUUAUUGUAAUAACUACAGUCAUUGCUUCUCUUUGGUGCUUAUUGCUUUUAUAUCUACCGUUACCAAGGAACAAUACCCUCACCAGUUGCGGUUGCAGUUGCAUGCCUACUCGGCUACAUAGCUCCUCGCAUGGAUCCAGAAGAGAUCACAGCUGUGGAUUCAUUACAAUUUAACUUUAAGACGAUAAGAGAUGCAACUAACAACUUUUCUGAACAAAGAACUUGGUCAAGGUGGAUUUGGCAGGGUUUACAAGGGUAAACUUCAAAAUGGACAAGAAAUAGCAAUGAAAAGGCUGUCAACAAAUUCGUGGCAAGGCGACAAAGAGUUCAAGACAGAGGUUCUUUUAGUUGCAAAGCUCCAGCAUAAGAAUUUGGUUACGUUGUUGGGAUUUUGCUUAUAUAAAAAAGAAAAGUUACAUGUCUAUGAACUCAUGCCUAAUGCAAGUCUUGACAAAGUCCUGCUUGAUAUGCUUCAUAGAAUCGUCGUACUAAAAUUUAUUUCAUUUGAUCUAGUCCCAUUUAUUAAUCAUCGAUUAUAAGUUUAUUGGUCACAAAGAUAAUGUUUAUACAAUUAUAAAUUACAUAUUGCAGACCAAAACAGGCAAGCAACUCUAGAAUGGGAAACCCGUUACAAAAUCUUAAUGGGAACUGCAAGAGGACUACUAUAUCUCCAUGAAGAUUCUAGGUUGAAGAUCAUCCAUCGGGAUCAAAUCGAGCAAUAUAUUGUUGAUGAAAACAUGAACCCGAAAAUAGCAGAUUUUGGAUUGGCAAGACUUGUUGGAACAAGUCAAGCUCAUGUAGAUACCACUAAGAUUGCUGGCACAUAAUAAGUAUAAUCCACAUAGUACUCGUUACAAAUAUAAUCAUGAUCCUUUCCCUUGAAUUCUUCCUUGAUAAUGUAGCAAUGAAAACCAAAGAAAAAAGAAAAUUAGUAAAAGUUUGAACUUUUUUUUUACUUAUUUUAACUUUUUGGAUAAGAAACACAUAAAAAACAUAAAAGUAUAUACUAAAUUAAAUAACUAGAUUUAGUUGAUCACUUUUUGUGAGGUAAGGGAGGGAAGAACUCGAAGCAUAGGAUGCCUUUUAACAACACAAUUAUUUGUUUUGGUUUAUAUUACACAUUUGAUUGUACUUUACAGUGGAUAUAUGGCUCCGGAGUAUAUGCUUUGACAGGGCGCUUCUCAGUCAUGUCAGAUGUUUAUAGCCUUUGGAGUAAUAGCUCUAGAGAUUAUAAGCGGGCACAAGUGCAGCUCAAUUGCCUUCCCCUUUGAAGGUGAAAGUUUAUGCCUACGUGCUUGGAGCUUAUGGAGAGACGGUGGAAUACUCGACUUGGUGGAUCCAAGGCUUGAUGGCAACUACUCAAGCGAGGAAGUAACAAGAUGCGUACACAUUGCUUUGCUAUGUAUCCAAGAAGACCCAAAUAAGAGGCCUACGAUGGCUCCGAUAGUAUCAACCUUCAAUGGCCAUCUUGUUGCUCUCCCGGAGCCCGAACCACCGCAGGUUGGUCCAUUGACGAUUUUCCAAUAUGGUUCCCAAAGAGAGGGGCAGACAUCAUCCAGUGAAAAUUCUAAAAAUAGAGAUGAUACUUCAUUAAUUUAUCCUCGAUAGAACAAACAUUGGAGGAAAUUAAUUCGUAAUGCAAUGGCUUCUAGUUGUCUGCUACUAUAUCAAGUGGGCAUACUUGCUUCAAACUUGGAUUGGUUUAUUCCAAUGAAGACUUACCAAAAUACAAUAGUUUUAAACUCGUGCCAUGCAUGACUAAUGCAAGACUUUCCUUUUUGUAGAUAAUAUGUGUUAAUAGAAUUGAAGUAUAAAUUUUCAUUAGUUGUUUUUAUUUUAUUGUUUACAUUUCUACCUAUA